rnacentral:rRNA from 1 species
UACAGGGGGGCAAGCGUUGUUCGGAAUUACUGGGCGUAAAGGGUUCGUAGGUGGCCACUUAAGUCAGACGUGAAAUCCCUCAGCUUAACUGGGGAACUGCGUCUGAUACUGAGUGGCUUGAGUGCAGGAGAGGGAUGCGGAAUUCCAGGUGUAGCGGUGAAAUGCGUAGAUAUCUGGAGGAACACCGGUGGCGAAGGCGGCAUCCUGGACUGUAACUGACACUGAGGAACGAAAGCCAGGGGAGCAAACGGG